GGGUUGUGAGGUUAAGCGACUAAGCGUACACGGUGGAUGCCCUGGCAGUCAGAGGCGAUGAAGGACGUGCUAAUCUGCGAUAAGCGUCGGUAAGGUGAUAUGAACCGUUAUAACCGGCGAUUUCCGAAUGGGGAAACCCAGUGUGUUUCGACACACUAUCAUUAACUGAAUCCAUAGGUUAAUGAGGCGAACCGGGGGAACUGAAACAUCUAAGUACCCCGAGGAAAAGAAAUCAACCGAGAUUCCCCCAGUAGCGGCGAGCGAACGGGGAGCAGCCCAGAGCCUGAAUCAGUGUGUGUGUUAGUGGAAGCGUCUGGAAAGGCGCGCGAUACAGGGUGACAGCCCCGUACACAAAAAUGCACAUGCUGUGAGCUCGAUGAGUAGGGCGGGACACGUGGUAUCCUGUCUGAAUAUGGGGGGACCAUCCUCCAAGGCUAAAUACUCCUGACUGACCGAUAGUGAACCAGUACCGUGAGGGAAAGGCGAAAAGAACCCCGGCGAGGGGAGUGAAAAAGAACCUGAAACCGUGUACGUACAAGCAGUGGGAGCACGCUUCGGCGUGUGACUGCGUACCUUUUGUAUAAUGGGUCAGCGACUUAUAUUCUGUAGCAAGGUUAACCGAAUAGGGGAGCCGAAGGGAAACCGAGUCUUAACUGGGCGUUAAGUUGCAGGGUAUAGACCCGAAACCCGGUGAUCUAGCCAUGGGCAGGUUGAAGGUUGGGUAACACUAACUGGAGGACCGAACCGACUAAUGUUGAAAAAUUAGCGGAUGACUUGUGGCUGGGGGUGAAAGGCCAAUCAAACCGGGAGAUAGCUGGUUCUCCCCGAAAGCUAUUUAGGUAGCGCCUCGUGAAUUCAUCUCCGGGGGUAGAGCACUGUUUCGGCAAGGGGGUCAUCCCGACUUACCAACCCGAUGCAAACUGCGAAUACCGGAGAAUGUUAUCACGGGAGACACACGGCGGGUGCUAACGUCCGUCGUGAAGAGGGAAACAACCCAGACCGCCAGCUAAGGUCCCAAAGUCAUGGUUAAGUGGGAAACGAUGUGGGAAGGCCCAGACAGCCAGGAUGUUGGCUUAGAAGCAGCCAUCAUUUAAAGAAAGCGUAAUAGCUCACUGGUCGAGUCGGCCUGCGCGGAAGAUGUAACGGGGCUAAACCAUGCACCGAAGCUGCGGCAGCGACGCUUAUGCGUUGUUGGGUAGGGGAGCGUUCUGUAAGCCUGUGAAGGUGUGCUGUGAGGCAUGCUGGAGGUAUCAGAAGUGCGAAUGCUGACAUAAGUAACGAUAAAGCGGGUGAAAAGCCCGCUCGCCGGAAGACCAAGGGUUCCUGUCCAACGUUAAUCGGGGCAGGGUGAGUCGACCCCUAAGGCGAGGCCGAAAGGCGUAGUCGAUGGGAAACAGGUUAAUAUUCCUGUACUUGGUGUUACUGCGAAGGGGGGACGGAGAAGGCUAUGUUGGCCGGGCGACGGUUGUCCCGGUUUAAGCGUGUAGGCUGGUUUUCCAGGCAAAUCCGGAAAAUCAAGGCUGAGGCGUGAUGACGAGGCACUACGGUGCUGAAGCAACAAAUGCCCUGCUUCCAGGAAAAGCCUCUAAGCAUCAGGUAACAUCAAAUCGUACCCCAAACCGACACAGGUGGUCAGGUAGAGAAUACCAAGGCGCUUGAGAGAACUCGGGUGAAGGAACUAGGCAAAAUGGUGCCGUAACUUCGGGAGAAGGCACGCUGAUAUGUAGGUGAAGUCCCUUGCGGAUGGAGCUGAAAUCAGUCGAAGAUACCAGCUGGCUGCAACUGUUUAUUAAAAACACAGCACUGUGCAAACACGAAAGUGGACGUAUACGGUGUGACGCCUGCCCGGUGCCGGAAGGUUAAUUGAUGGGGUCAGCGCAAGCGAAGCUCUUGAUCGAAGCCCCGGUAAACGGCGGCCGUAACUAUAACGGUCCUAAGGUAGCGAAAUUCCUUGUCGGGUAAGUUCCGACCUGCACGAAUGGCGUAAUGAUGGCCAGGCUGUCUCCACCCGAGACUCAGUGAAAUUGAACUCGCUGUGAAGAUGCAGUGUACCCGCGGCAAGACGGAAAGACCCCGUGAACCUUUACUAUAGCUUGACACUGAACAUUGAGCCUUGAUGUGUAGGAUAGGUGGGAGGCUUUGAAGUGUGGACGCCAGUCUGCAUGGAGCCGACCUUGAAAUACCACCCUUUAAUGUUUGAUGUUCUAACGUUGACCCGUAAUCCGGGUUGCGGACAGUGUCUGGUGGGUAGUUUGACUGGGGCGGUCUCCUCCUAAAGAGUAACGGAGGAGCACGAAGGUUGGCUAAUCCUGGUCGGACAUCAGGAGGUUAGUGCAAUGGCAUAAGCCAGCUUGACUGCGAGCGUGACGGCGCGAGCAGGUGCGAAAGCAGGUCAUAGUGAUCCGGUGGUUCUGAAUGGAAGGGCCAUCGCUCAACGGAUAAAAGGUACUCCGGGGAUAACAGGCUGAUACCGCCCAAGAGUUCAUAUCGACGGCGGUGUUUGGCACCUCGAUGUCGGCUCAUCACAUCCUGGGGCUGAAGUAGGUCCCAAGGGUAUGGCUGUUCGCCAUUUAAAGUGGUACGCGAGCUGGGUUUAGAACGUCGUGAGACAGUUCGGUCCCUAUCUGCCGUGGGCGCUGGAGAACUGAGGGGGGCUGCUCCUAGUACGAGAGGACCGGAGUGGACGCAUCACUGGUGUUCGGGUUGUCAUGCCAAUGGCACUGCCCGGUAGCUAAAUGCGGAAGAGAUAAGUGCUGAAAGCAUCUAAGCACGAAACUUGCCCCGAGAUGAGUUCUCCCUGACUCCUUGAGAGUCCUGAAGGAACGUUGAAGACGACGACGUUGAUAGGCCGGGUGUGUAAGCGCAGCGAUGCGUUGAGCUAACCGGUACUAAUGAACCGUGAGGCUUAACCUUACAACGCCGAAGCUGUU
rnacentral:rRNA from 1 species